GAUGAACGCUAGCGGGAGGCCUAACACAUGCAAGCCGAGCGGUAUUUGUUCUUCGGAACAGAGAGAGCGGCGCACGGGUGCGGAACACGUGUGCAACCUGCCUUUAUCUGGGGGAUAGCCUUUCGAAAGGAAGAUUAAUACCCCAUAAUAUAUUGAGUGGCAUCAUUUGAUUGAAAACUCCGGUGGAUAGAGAUGGGCACGCGCAAGAUUAGAUAGUUGGUGAGGUAACGGCUCACCAAGUCAAUGAUCUUUAGGGGGCCUGAGAGGGUGAUCCCCCACACUGGUACUGAGACACGGACCAGACUCCUACGGGAGGCAGCAGUGAGGAAUAUUGGACAAUGGGUUAGCGCCUGAUCCAGCCAUCCCGCGUGAAGGACGACGGCCCUAUGGGUGGUAAACUUCUUUUGUAUAGGGAUAAACCUACUCUCGUGAGAGUAGCUGAAGGUACUAUACGAAUAAGCACCGGCUAACUCCGUG
rnacentral:rRNA from 1 species